UAAUCUGUCUGCAGAUUUGAGGAAAGAGACGUCCGUCCUACUCUCCUCUCUGCUCUUUAAAGCUCCCCGCAGCCGGAGGACACGGAAGGUCUGGAAUGGUCAUGUCUCUCCAUCGUCAUCACUUGACACCCACCAACCUGAUCAAGGCACUCUUUGUCAUGUGGUACGUACGAGUUUACAGGAGGAUGCUCCCCCUCUCCCUGAUAAGAGAAUGAGAUCCCAAAUUCUCCAAUGGUAUGGAUCAAUCAUGAAGAAAGAAUGGUAUGGAUCAAUCGUGAAGAAAGAAUGGUAUGGAUCAAUCAUGAAGAAGGAAGCAUCAUGGAUUCAUGGGGGCGACAAAACAUGGGUAUGUAUAUAUAGUGCAUCAUCUUCCCUUGUUUGACGACGCUGGCCGUCUUGUUUUCGUGUCAACAGUGCUUAAACAGGAUCCUAAGAUAAGAGUGGCAUGGGCAAGGCCCCGUA